rnacentral:misc_RNA from 1 species
AAGGAGUCUAACAUAUCUGCGAGUAUUUGGGUGUCAAACCCGAGUGCGCAAUGAAAGUGAACGUAGGAGCCACGCGCAAGCUGCAGCUUCGACCGAUCUGGAUCUUUAGUGAUGGAUUUGAGUAAGAGUAUGGAUGUUGGGACCCGAAAGAUGGUGAACUAUGCUUGAAUAGGGCGAAGCCAGAGGAAACUCUGGUGGAGGCUCGCAGCGAUUCUGACGUGCAAAUCGAUCGUCAAAUUUGGGUAUAGGGGCGAAAGACUAAUCGAACCAUCUAGUAGCUGGUUCCUGC